GAGACAAGUGGUGGACCCAGAGCGACAAUUUAGAUAGCAAGCAAGUUCAUAAUGUGAAACUACAUAUUCUUUUAUUUAUUUUAGCUAUACAUUUUAGCGUAAUGUUUGUAUCGUGUCAGUCUGCUGUGCCAGUGCACACUUAGUAGCGCUCUAAAGUAUUCUGCCUAACAAUAUUCUGUAAGAUCUUUAAAAACUCAGAUGUAACUUACAUGAAACUCCUGUAAAUAAACGAACGCCAUCUGGAACUUGGUUAUAGUCGCAUAUUCACAGAUCUAUGGUUAAACAUCUCUUACUAGACUCAGACUACUCAAAACACUUGUUUGCCCUGUCCGCAGAGCAUCCUGGGAUAUGUAGUUUUCUGCUAUGUAAGUAAUUGUAGUUCCUAAUGUUUGUAUUUUAGUUCUUAUAUUAUUUUGGUGUUGUUAAUGUGCACUGUGACCUUUUUUUGUGAUCUUCAGUCAGUUUUCAUUUAUUUGCCAACUGCUUUCUCACUAAGAUGUGUCUGAGGUAGAGGAGGACACAGCCACUUGCAGAAGAACAACUGAUUACAUCUAUAACACAAACACAUUUACUGGUGGUGAUAAUCGUGAGGCCAUUAAACAUAUUUUCUGACAGAAUAGUGUGACAGUUGGGUUCUGGAAGUAAAAAUCCCAUUCAUUUUCUCCUUAGGGAAAUUAAUUACGAACUAUAACUUAUACCAAAAAAAGCCACUCCCAUUAAGCACUGCCAAUUACACAGUCGAGACAAAAACUCAUACAGGGGCAUUUUUGUUACCCCAAUAUCUUGAAUUUUAGGGCAUAACUGCAUUUAUGGAGUUGUUACCCUGCAUCAUAUUUUUCAACAGUCAACUGUAUGAAAUGUAAGGUGAUGUACAGGUCUGGGGCGGGGCCAGUGCAUUAACAGCGUUAAAAUAUUUGAAUCGCUUUUCAUAACUAAUUAAUUAACAUGUUAAACUGACAGCACUACUUAUGAACUAACUAACCCUUUAACAGAUACUUUUUUUUUAAAAAUCCCAAUUGGAAAAAUUUGUGGGAAAAAUACUUCCAAAAAUCAAGGCUGCUGAAAAAGGCACAGUUGCACUCUAUUAAAGCUCACUUGUGGCUUAACCAAUGGUGUGGGUCUGGGGGCGGACCUUUCUGUUUUGUAGAAACCUGUUAAAAAAUUCUUAUAUUUAAAUGGCAUCUACUGUGAUUUUUUAAAUUUUCCCUUUCCCUUUCUCUGACACACAUUCUAUGCAGUUGACCAACCACAACAAAAUGGGCCAGCUGACCAAUUAGAGCAGACUGGGUAUUUUAGAAAGGCAGGCUUUAAAGAGACAGAAACUGAGAAAUGCAUUGUGUUUGUUUGAACUCUAGAUCAUGUAAAUGUAUUCUUUCAGAGCCCAAAAAUAAAAUUAUUAAGUUGUAAAUGAGCAUAACUUGGGCACUUUAAAACAUGUAGACACCUUGACUUCUUGGGUUCAGGCAUUUAAGUUUUUCAUCAAAGAGAUGUAUUUGAGACAAAAGGUCUUGUGAGCAAAAACAGAACCAGGGCAUCUUUAAGCAUGUCUUACUUUCCCUGCAGAAAGAAUGUUUUUGUCACACAGGAGAGAACAGAGGAAACGGGCGAUAAGGAGUCCAAUAAAAACAAGAAGAAAGAAGAAGAAAACUAUCACAGAUGUGCUGACGAGCUCUGAGCCUGUGCCGGGCUCUCCAGCUGACCUUCUGAGCCUUUUGAAGAGUCACCACAGCCAGACCCGCUCUGUUAUUGAGCAGGAGGAACUGACGCUGAGCAUUUGUCUAAAGUGGGCAAAAAUACAGAAGCAGCACACUCAGACCCGGUCAGUGGUGUGCUCAUCAUUUGUGGAUCUGCUCUAAGAACGAUUGAUCUCAUUAAGCAGCUGAUAGUGUUUAAAGGACAAGCUAAAGUGCUGAAGCUGUUCGUAAAACACAUCAAGGUGGACUGUUGUGAUAAAGUAAUUGAGUUAAGAGGGUUUGACUACACAAACACUGUCUGAGAUAUCUGGUUCUGGACUGGAACUACCGAGACUAGAAGCACAGGAGAAUGGUGGAUAUACCAGAGAUGAAAGGAGACUUGCUGAAAAUGAUGGACCAUGGUCUAAUCCAGAGCUGCAGGGAAGGAACAGUUAAAAUAGGACUCUAUUAAGCAAGUGUGUUCUUUGUUAAUUACACAUUCAUGUUCAUUUACUUGUUCAACAUGUAAUAGAGCUAUCGUAA